CCUACAGGUAACUGUCCCCUACAGGUAACUGUCCCCUACAGGUAACUGUCCUCCACAGGUAACUGUCCUCCACAGGUCCCCUACAGGUAACUGUCCCCUACAGGUAAGUGUCCUCCACAGGUAGCUGGAUGUCUGCAGCUGUUUUCUGAUUGGUUCUACCUCCAGGUCAACAGAUCCUCGUCGUCCUUUUAGAUUCUUUAAUAAAGUUCAAACCGUUCUGCUGUGAAUUCUGAUUUAUUUAAAGUUUGUCCAGAAACAAAACAAAGAAGUGAAACCUGAGAAGAACCAACGGAACGUUUCUAACAUUGUUCUGAUCUGUUGGCAGGAGGAGGAACUGAAACUGGCCCAGAGACCAGGUGAGUUUCACCUUAUUACCCAAAACUUCUGCAGAUCUGCAUCAUUUAUUGAGAAGCUGAACCAAAGAAUUCAGUGUUUAAUGGAGAACAGCAGAGCUUCAGAUGAUCAAGAACCAAAACUUCAGUCUCAGGAUGAUCAGGAACC
ensembl:lncRNA